ACCACAACAUCAAUUUCCCAGUUUUAUUCUUUUCCUCCUCAAAACGUCUCCCUCUCAGGUUUUAUAAACUCCAAUUCCUUCCCAAAGUAUAUAUCUGAUUCUGAUAUUCAUUAAAUCUUCAAACCCUCAAAUCAACCAAAGUUUCACUUCUGCUAAGGCGUUUCUUCCUCUUCAUAGCUAGAAGCGAAAAUAAAAAAUGGCCGCGGACAGUGAUACCAGCGAUUCAGGUGUCGGUAGUGGUGAUGAGAUUACCAUUCACAUUAGUUGUUCAAACGGUACCAAGUUUUCUGUGAAGACAAGCCUUGGAUCUACUGUUUUGGAGUUCAAAAGUGUUAUCUCUCAACAUUCUGAUGUUUCAGCUGAGCAACAACGAUUGAUUUACAAGGGUCGGAUCUUGAAAGAUGAACAGACUUUAGAAAGCUAUGGUUUGCAGGAAGAUCACACUGUUCACAUGGUUCGUGGUUUACCAGCUUCAUCAGCUAACACAGCAGGUUCAGCAAAUCUUGGAGGCUCAAACACCACCUCAGGUGCCUCAAGAGCUACUUUUCAAUCCAAUGAAGGCGGGCUUUUUAGGGGGACCAAUCUCGGGGCAUCACUGUUACCAGGGCUCCGUGUAAAUGGUCUAGGUGGCAGUGGAGUACCUGGGAUGUUGGGAACUGAGGCAGAGUUUGAACAAGUCCAGCAACAGCUUACUCAGAAUCCCAACAUGAUGAGGGAAAUAAUGAAUAUGCCCGUCAUGCAGAGCCUAAUGAAUAAUCCCGACUUAAUGCGUACCUUGAUCAUGAGCAAUCCUCAAAUGCGUGAUAUCAUGGAUCGCAAUCCUGAACUUGCACAUAUACUGAAUGAUCCCGGUACUCUACUCCAAACACUAGAAGCUGCAAGGAAUCCUGAACUCAUGCGAGAAAUGAUGCGCAACACUGAUAGGGCCAUGAGCAACAUUGAAUCUUCUCCCGAAGGCUUUAACAUGCUCAGACGUAUGUAUGAAACCGUUCAAGAACCAUUAAUGAAUGCGACAACAAUGGCCGGAGAUGCUGAAAAUAAUUCUGGUUCAAACCUGUUUGCUUCCCUAUUAGGAAACCAAGGGGGACCUCAAGACAGGGAUCGGUCGAUUAACCCUUCAACCACUGGUUCUGCUGCUCCAAAUGCCGAACCGCUUCCCAACCCAUGGGGUGGUGCUGGUGCUGUUAGAGGCACACCAACAAAUACCGCAGCUAGGUUAAAUUCAACAGGAAAUGCAAGGGCACCUGGUAUUGCUGGAUUAGGUGGGCUGGGUCUGCCUGAGAUGGAACAGAUGUUAGGGGGAAUGCAGGAUUUCUCUCAGAUGAAUCAGUUGAUGCAAAAUCCUGCUGUUGCACAGAUAACGCAGAGCCUCCUUUCUGACCCUCAAUACAUGAACCAGAUUCUUGGUCUGAAUCCCCAACUCCGUAGCAUGGUUGAUUCUAAUCCUCAAAUAAGAUACAACACAGGAAGAUUUGCCUAUGCAGCAAGAGUUGACCCGUCUUUUGGGGCAACAUUCAGCCCUGGAUCCAGGACUGACUGGUGGAGCUGCAGCAGGAACACCAAAUAACAUGGGGUUGGAUUUGUUGAUGCACAUGUUUGGUGGACUUGGUGCCAGUGGUUUCAAUGUUCCUAGCACAGCAAAUGUGCCGCCUACGCGACUCAGCUAUCACAGCUUCAAGAAAUGGGAUUUUUUGACACACAAGAGAACAUCCGAGCAUUGAGAGCAACAUCAGGAAAUGUUAAUGCUGCGGUGGAGCGGCUACUGGGAGGAGGAAACCCUGGACAGUAGAUUAUUGCCAAGUGGGUGGCGGUAUCCCCAUGUGCUACUAAUAUACGUAGUCGGUCAUGCUAAUCUUGUGCCUCUGUAUGAUUAGUCAAUUUUCAGUCCGGAGUCUUCUUAAUCAGGAAAAAGAGGGACUCGGCCACAUAUGAGAACUCUGUUUUGGACAUGAACAAGUACAUAGCAACAGAGCCGUCCUAUGGACCAGGCCAGCUAGGCUAUUGCCUAUACACUUAUACUACCUACUUGUAAUCGAAGAACAGGACCAUGAUGUACUUGGGCCAUCUUCCUCAUAUUUAUAAGGGGUGUCUUGAAGUUAGGAAAUUACUAACUUAUCCUUUACUUUUGUUUCAAUUAUGACUAACCUAAUAGCCUCUCCCC